CCUACGGGUGGCAGCAGUGGGGAAUAUUGGACAAUGGGCGAAAGCCUGAUCCAGCCAUGCCGCGUGUGUGAAGAAGGCCUUCGGGUUGUAAAGCACUUUCAGUGGGGAAGAAAGCCUUGGGGCUAAUACCCUCGAGGAAGGACAUCACCCACAGAAGAAGCACCGGCUAACUCCGUGCCAGCAGCCGCGGUAAUACGGAGGGUGCGAGCGUUAAUCGGAAUUACUGGGCGUAAAGCGCGCGUAGGCGGUCUGAUAAGCCGGUUGUGAAAGCCCCGGGCUCAACCUGGGAACGGCAUCCGGAACUGUCAGGCUAGAGUGCAGGAGAGGAAGGUAGAAUUCCCGGUGUAGCGGUGAAAUGCGUAGAGAUCGGGAGGAAUACCAGUGGCGAAGGCGACCUUCUGGACUGACACUGACGCUGAGGUGCGAAAGCGUGGGUAGCAAACAGGAUUAGAUACCCCGGUAGUC
rnacentral:rRNA from 1 species